ACGCACGCUGGCGGCGUGCUUCACCCCUGCAAGUCGCACGGAAAGGCCCUGCUUUUGUGGGGUGCUCGAGUGGCGAACGGGUGAGUAACACGUGAGUAACCUGCCCUUGACUUUGGGAUAACUUCAGGAAACUGGGGCUAAUACCGGAUAGGAGCUCCUGCUGCAUGGUGGGGGUUGGAAAGUUUCGGCGGUUGGGGAUGGACUCGCGGCUUAUCAGCUUGUUGGUGGGGUAGUGGCUUACCAAGGCUUUGACGGGUAGCCGGCCUGGGAGGGUGACCGGCCACAUUGGGACUGAGAUACGGCCCAGACUCCUACGGGAGGCAGCAGUGGGGAAUAUUGCACAAUGGGCGGAAGCCUGAUGCAGCAACGCCGCGUGCGGGAUGACGGCCUUCGGGUUGUAAACCGCUUUCGCCUGUGACGAAGCGUGAGUGACGGUAAUGGGUAAAGAAGCACCGGCUAACUACGUG
rnacentral:rRNA from 1 species